GACGAACCGAGCGAACGUUGUUCGGAAUCACUGGGCUUAAAGGGCGCGUAGGCGGGCUGCCGCGUCCGGGGUGAAAUCCUCCGGCUCAACCGGGGAACGGCCUCGGAUACGGGCGGCCUCGAGGGGGGUAGGGGCAUCUGGAACUGUGGGUGGAGCGGUGAAAUGCGUUGAUAUCCACAGGAACGCCGGUGGCGAAGGCGAGGUGCUGGACCCCUUCUGACGCUGAGGCGCGAAAGCCAGGGGAGCAAACGGG
rnacentral:rRNA from 1 species